CAGAGUCAAAGAUUGUCCUGUAAGCUUUCCCAAAAGCUUGACAUUUCUCUACUGGCGCUGCCGAAUUGGAUCCUUUUUGGAGGCGCAGCUGGAGCCUUCCUCCCAGGAGGCAGCGAAGGCGGUGGCAGCAGAGUGUGGUGCCUCCUCUUUCUCCCCUUGCCCUCCAGGCAGACCAGGACAAACUUCAACCUGAGUAAAGAUGUGACCUGUGGCAUCUGCAUGAAGACGGUGUACGAGAAGACCAGCGCUGGGGAUAGGCGCUUUGGCAUCAUGCCAGAGCUACAGUGUCACCUGGAGAAAAAAACUAAACUUCCAGGAAGAAGUUAUAAAGGGUUUCCAAAAGUGCAGAGUCAAGUCGGCGUUUUACAUCCCCAACAAGUACUGGGUGGAAGGAAAACCAAAGGAAAAUCUUAUCCGUAACUUUAAAGAUAAAUGCAGGUCAGCUUUUACCAUUCUCUCGACCAGAUGUCACUAUGGAUUUCUGGGGUUCUGGCAUCCUAGUUUGAUUGUGGUAAACCUAUGCUCUGUUUCAACUCCAGAAAAUAAGAUGUAGUUUCUUCAUGUGUCAUGGAUGCUGUCCCUUCAAGAUGGAGUGUCUCUGUUGGUAUGACCUGCCUCAAGGCUACAGACCCCAUCGCUGCCACGAUCAUCUUGUGCACCAUGCCAUGAGUCUGGAUGACUUAAACAGCUUCUUGACUGUGUCAUUGUUCUGCCUCUUCUGGAUGACUUAGACAGCUUCUUGACUUUGUCAUUGUUCUGACUCUUCUGGAUGACUUGCUGGAUGAUGACAAUGGUGUUCCCGCUGUACCUGGGUGAAUAUGACAAGUAUGACCUAUUCUAAGCACUGCCACCCUGCCCCAUGGGUUUGGACUGCAAUGGGUUGACUAGGGCCUUUACUUUUGAUUGGAUCCCAGGGUUGUGUGGGUUGUUGCUUGGAGUCAUCCUCUUAGACCUGUGAUUGGCUGUUCUCUUGCUGUUGAUGGGUUUUGGUUCCAUGCAAGUUGAUGGGUUAAUGAAUUAGUUGACUAAUUGAUGUGAUGGUCACCCCACAUUGCCUGGUUCAUCUCUAGGUUUCUUCCUAGGUUUUGGCCUUUCUAGGGAGUUUUUCCUAGCCACCGUGCUUCUACACCUGCAUUGCUUGCUGUUUGGGGUUUUAGGCUGGGUUUUUUUACAGCACUUUGAGA